rnacentral:rRNA from 2 species
GCAUAUCAAUAAGCGGAGGAAAAGAAACCAACAGGGAUUGCCCUAGUAACGGCGAGUGAAGCGGCAACAGCUCAAAUUUGAAAUCUGGCCUUCUGGUCCGAGUUGUAAUUUGUAGAGGAUGCUUUUGGUGCGGUGCCUUCCGAGUUCCCUGGAACGGGACGCCUUAGAGGGUGAGAGCCCCGUACGGUUGGACGCCUAGCCUCUGUAAAGCUCCUUCGACGAGUCGAGUAGUUUGGGAAUGCUGCUCAAAAUGGGAGGUAAAUUUCUUCUAAAGCUAAAUACCGGCCAGAGACCGAUAGCGCACAAGUAGAGUGAUCGAAAGAUGAAAAGCACUUUGAAAAGAGGGUUAAAUAGCACGUGAAAUUGUUGAAAGGGAAGCGCUUAUGACCAGACUUUUUCCUGGCGAAUCAUCCGGUGUUCUCACCGGUGCACUUCGCCAGGUCUAGGCCAGCAUCGGUUUCCGUAGGGGGAUAAAAGCGUCGGGAAUGUGGCUCCUCCGGGAGUGUUAUAGCCCUUCGUAUAAUACCCUUCUGGGGACCGAGGUACGCGCUUCUGCAAGGAUGCUGGCGUAAUGGUCAUCAGCGACCCGUCUUGAAACACGGACCAAGGAGUCGAACAUUUAUGCGAGUGUUUGGGUGUUAAACCCUCACGCGUAAUGAAAGUGAACGGAGGUGAGAACCUUUUAGGUGCAUCAUCGACCGAUCCUGAUGUCUUCGGAUGGAUUUGAGUAAGAGCAUAACUGUUCGGACCCGAAAGAUGGUGAACUAUGCGUGGAUAGGGUGAAGCCAGAGGAAACUCUGGUGGAGGCUCGCAGCGGUUCUGACGUGCAAAUCGAUCGUCAAAUCUGCGCAUGGGGGGCGAAAGACUAAUCGAACCAUCUAGUAGCUGGGUUACCG